rnacentral:tRNA from 2 species
GCGGGCGUGGCGAAAUUGGUAGACGCAAGGGACUUAAAAUCCCUCGGCUUCGGCCGUGCCGGUUCGAGCCCGGCCGCCCGCACCA